GGGUCGUGCUGCACUGACAAGCAUUGAAGGUACUGUUCUUAACACUUGUAACCAUUGUAACUGCAUCCUGCUUGGCAUACCUCCCCUCUGCUAUUGUAAGAAAAAUGUUCCCCUUUGAUCAUUGUGUAGAAGAAGCCUGAACACCACCCUUCUUGGUGACACCUGUGCCCACAGCCCCUUCCUCUAACCUGCUUUUCUGCUUCUAUAAAAUUCUGCUUCAACUAGGGUCCUACUCCCCUACCUAAAUCAAGGUGUAAAAGAUAAGCCCCUUCCUCAGGGCUGAGAGAAUUCUGAGCAUUAGCCAUCUCUCGGUCACUGGCAAAUCAAUAAAGGACUCUUAAUUUGGAACUCAGAACAAGGCUCCUUCCUUCUAACUCACUUGGUUACAACAUUUGGAGGCCCUGGUGAGAUAUUCACCACCGGGUGCAGAUUGGGCUUGUUCCGGACUCCCCUGGGGGAGGAGGCGGACUAUAGGGGAGGUGCCCUCUGAGAAGUUCCAGGGCUCCAUAGGCCACCCCUUGCCGGAGGAGAGCAGAUCAACUCCCAGCACUCUCCACCAAAUUAUUCUUCAGAGUCCUCGGUCAUGCUCCACGGAGAAGAAAACCUAUCCUCUGGACAUUAUGGAAUUCUCCUGCUUCUGAACACAAACUCACACCUCCACAUAGGCAUGGAAGAGCAAGACCCUCUCGUGAUCCUCAGUUAAGGUGGUGGGAACUGACUCAUGGAUUCAUCACACUCAGCAGAAGCCUUGGACCCCUCCUGAAGAAAGCCAUAGACCCUUCUCUCCACAGCCUGAAGUUCCAGGAGACGACCCUUCAUACACCUGCGAGCCGUGAAAGGAUCUACAUCUGCUCUUCAGAAAAGAUCACCAGGAAAGUAACUACUCAUGAGAUGAAUUUACAUCCUGGCAUUAAAAGAACUAUCACUUUUAACUUUGCUGUCUCUCAAACUCCAAUUAUUCCUUUCAUUGGGGUGGGGGGGAGUCAAAAAUUAGGAAAACUUGGUGCUGGCAUUAGAAAAGUGACUCUAUUCAGUUAUUAUAAGCUAUCUUAGGAUUUAAUUAGUAACUUAAAGAGCCUGCUUAUUCUCUCAGCAAAGGCUGCUCACUCUGCAAAACAGCUUAACUCUUUAGCUGCCAUAUCUCUUCAAAGUAGAAGGGCCCUAAAUCUGCUAAUGACAGAGAGAGAGAGGGAACCUGUCUCUUUCUAGGAAGAAAUGCUGCUACUUUGUAAACCAAUUAAGUCUUGUUUUACAGAAGUUAAAGAACUGAGGAAUCAGAACACAGGGCUAAAGACCUUCAAGUAGUAGUACUGUGGAGCUUAACAACUAGCCGUCCCGACUAUAUACUCUUCUAGGCCUGUUUAUAACCAUUCCAUAUUUGUUGGCCUCUGGGCUUUUCAUCUUUAACCUCCUUGUCACAUUCUCUUCUUCUAGAAUCAUAAGGCCACAAAAAAUCCUGUAAUGGGAACCCCAGAUGUUCUUGGCUCAUAAGCUCUAUCAUAGACCUCGGGAUACCCUGAAAGACUCCCCUCUGAGGGAAACCUCAACUGCAGGGCCCCUUCUACACCCCAUUUCAGCGGGAAGUAGCUAAAGAGCUAACACCCAUGUCCCAACAGCAGUUGGACUUUCCUGUUCAGAAGGGUGACUGAGGGAAUGUAUUCUCUUCCCGGAUCCACAAGGGGGCAUAGUUUCAAAGAUAACAACUUCCCAGUGACAUGCCCAACCUGCCGCCCUCCACGUCUGCAUCCGAGAGCUUAGAAGUCUAACUUAUGCAUGCACAGGAAGAUAGAAAGAUCAAUCACUCUAGCGGAAGUUUAAAAGAACUCCUUUCAUAGGACAGAAAAUGAAUAGGGUGGGAAUAACACGUAGGUUAAAAGUCCCCUUCUCCCACAUCUGGGCAGACUCCAUUUCUGGAUCCCCUUCCAUGACAACAUGGGAGCUGCUCUCUAUUUCUUUCUCCUUUUUCUCUCUCUGCCUAAGUAAAUCACUUUCUGCAAAACUUUUUGGGGUCCGAUAUUUACUUAUAAGCCCACCAUGCCUGGAGGGGUCCUCUCGCCCAUUCUUGGGUGAGUGAGGGACCAAGAACCUGGAAGAACACACCCUUUUGGGGAGCUGAGCCUCCCCAGUGACCCGGAACUCAGUCUCAUCUUCUCAUAAGUGGGUGUUGAACAAAGAGAACACAUGGACACAGGGAAGUGAACAUCACACACCAGGGCCUGUCAGGGGGAGUGGGGCUAGGAAAGGGGUAGCAGAGACUGGGAGGAUGGGGGAGGGAUAGCAUUAGGAGAAAGACCUAACGUAGAUGACCAGCUGAUGGAUGCAGCAAACCACCAUGGCACAUGUACACCUAUGUAACAAACCAGCACAUUCUGCAUAUAUACCCAGAACUUAAAGCAUAACAAUUUUUAAAAAAAGAAUUAUGUCUUCAAAAAAAUAUUAAAGCUGGGUGUUUUUCCUUUUAACUGGGAGUCAAAGGUUGUAUAAUGAUAGCCAAGAAGAGUCAAACCUCAUUUGUACACUUUCCAGCUGAUACUUCCUUAAAAAUAAAAUGAACCAGACAUCCUCAGUGGACACCCUUAGUUUAGUUUACAAGGAC
ensembl:lncRNA